UACGUAGGCAGCAAGCGUUGUUCGGAGUUACUGGGCGUAAAGGGUGCGUAGGCGGCUUUUUAAGUUUGGUGUGAAAUCUCCCGGCUCAACUGGGAGGGUGCGCCGAAUACUGAGAGGCUAGAGUGUGGGAGAGGAAAGUGGAAUUCCUGGUGUAGCGGUGAAAUGCGUAGAUAUCAGGAGGAACACCGGUGGUGUAAACGGCUUUCUGGACCAUAACUGACGCUGAGGCACGAAAAGCGUGGGUAGCAAACAGG
rnacentral:rRNA from 1 species